rnacentral:rRNA from 1 species
GACGCAGCGCGCCGCGUGAAGGAGAAGGCCUUCGGGUUGUAAACCUCUUUCAGGAGGGACGAAGCCACUCGGGUUAAUAGCCCAGAGGGUGACGGGACCUCCAGAAGAAGCCCCGGGUAACUACGUGCCAGCAGCCGCGGGAAUUAA